rnacentral:snRNA from 1 species
AUACUCUUGUUUCUCUUCAGAUCGAAUAAAUCUUUCGCCUUUUACUAAAAGAUUUCCGUGGAGAGGAACAAGCAUGAGUUUCAUAAAAAUAUUUGAGGUCUGACAACGUGAGGC